UUUCAUUUUUUAUAUUUGUUCUUGUUAGUUGAAUUUUAAUAAUCUAUUUUCCUCUUUUGGUAAUGUAGAACAUCAUUGAAUCAAAGGUCAAAGGUCUAGGUGUAAUCUGGAUAGUAGUUUCUUUCCUUUUCUUGGUUUAUGUUUGGGUUAUUCUUUUUCUUGGUUUAUCUUUAGUUUACAAGAAACAGGAGUGAAGUAAAGUAGGUUCUUGAUUUUUGUUUGGUACUUUGGUUUCUCAUUUUGAAACGUACGUUUUAUCUUUCCUCUUCUGCUUUGUUUGGUUUCCAAGAAAGUGAUCUAGGUUUAAUAUGCACUGUGUUUUCUUUCUUUUUCUCAGUGUCUGUUUGGUUUUCAUGAAGCAGGAAUGAAGUACAGUGUGUUCUUGAUUUCUGAUUGGUUUCCAAGAAAGUGAAGGAAAAUGAUAUGGCUUGUUAUCAUUUUUUUUUUCUUCAUGCCAGAAUGAUUAAUAAAAAUGAUAUAUAGAAGGGUUUCACAACUAAGCUCCUUGUUUAUUUUGGUUGGUGUCUUCUGAAAAUUAUCUAAAAUUGUCUCCAAAACAGCUGAGGUGGAAGGCAUGGUUGUGAUUGCCUUCAGAAAUGUCUGACUCAUGAAGAUUUCAGUCAUAUCCUUGUGCAGUAUGUUGCUAAAUUUCUGACUGGAGUAUGCAUAAAGCCCUUGCAUUGAUUUUGGUUUAGGGGAGAUGAGGCCUGAACAACUUUGGGAAACCACAAUGGAUCCUGAUCAGGGAAGGUUGCUAAAGCAAUUUGUUGUCAAGGAUGCUAUAAAAGGAAGUGUUGUCUUCUCAUUUCUUAAGGGUGCUUAGGUAAAAGAAAAACAUUUGGCUUUUUAUGUUGUUCUUAUCUAUUCUCAUAUAUAGUUUAAAGAAAAUAUCAUUGUAUUUUUUUUAUCUAGAAUUAUAUGAUAUUACUGCCAAGUCCAGGCGACCAAUUAACUAACCCUGCAGGGAACUGAAUGUGAAAUGACUAGUCCAUAUUUUUGUUAUCAUAUUCUGGGAAGCAACGUUGUAUGUUAAUAUUUCAUGACUAUGUUGAGCAACUAUUUCAGACACGUGAACAUAGCAGCUUUAGGUUGAAUAUUUUUGUUUUCAAAUUUAAGGAAAAAUAGGUUCUGUACUCCCACUAAAUUAAUUCCUAAAAGAAAUGUCCAAAUGCAUGGGAUCCUUGAGAUACAUAUAUAAUUACCCUUUCCAAGUUGUGCAAGUGGGCUGUGAUGAGAGAGAAAACAUGAGGAUUUCACUAGAGAGGGCAUGAGAGUGGGCUAUUAAGGAGGAUUCAUGUGAGCAUCAGAACCUGGAGAACACCUGAGCUGAUUGUGCACAUGGUGGGGAUUGUUGUGAGCAUCGGAUUUUUCUAGAAUGGAGGUUGUUUGGUGCUCAGUUUGUGGAAAAAAAGAAGGUGGCAGAAUGUUCUAGAGUCACAUGGAUUUUUCUAGAAUUGUUGUGCACACGGUGGACAAAAUCAAAAUUUGUAAAGUGGAGAGCAUCAGAACCUGGAGAACACCUGAGCUGAUUGUGCACACGGUGGGGAUUGUUGUGAGCAUCAGAUUUUUCUAGAAUGGAGGCUGUUUGGUGCUCAGUUUGUGGAAAAAAUGAAGGUGGCAGAAUGUUCUAGAGUCACAUGGAUUUAGUGCAUGGUUUUGGCUUGGAGGGAAUAGGAUGAGAAGGUUUUAGAGAGGUGACUAUUAGUGGACAGAUUUGAAUUUUGGAGGGAAUGAAAGUGAUCAGAAUUUUUAGAGGGAAGUCUCUAGAACUUUGGGGAGGACUGAAUACAGUUGGGGAGGAAAAAUGGGGAGAAGUGAAUUUUUCUUCAAGGGAGAAUAUCACACGGCAUAAUUCUUUAGUGGACAAAGCGUGAAACUGAAUUCGGUCUUGAAGGAAGGAGAGAUGGAGCUAAGUGAAGAGAGAUUAUGGGAGAAUUGAGGGCACAGAUCAGCUUGGAAAAUUGAGAGAACAACCAGAAAUUUGGGAAGAAAAGUUGAACACAGAAUGGUUGUUAAUGGUUGAGAGCAUGAGAUUCGUGGGGUUGCAAGCUGAUUGUGUGUGACUGUUAAUGGUGGAGAGGUAAGUUGAUAGUGCAUGGCUAUGAGACGAAACUCAACAAGCACAUGAUCACACCAUCAGAUUUUGAGACCACCAGAUUGCUAGCACAAGCACUCAUUAGAUUGCUGAAUUUUGAGAAUUUGCAUAAGCUUGUGAAGAACAACACCACCAGCUGAAUUUUGGAGAACACACACUAGCCAAACUGAUGAAGGAGGCACACAUAGUUGCAUAGAGAAGGAGACCACCAGGUUGCUUAUUGAAGCAACACGCAUCAGCCAUUGAAAUACCAUCAACAUGCAUCAGCCAUUGAAGACACCAUCAGCAUGCAUCGGGUUUUAAAGAGAUACAUCACUAAACUUUGAAGAGGAUUUUGAGAUUCGAAGUUUGGGUGUUGGAAAUUUAAGGCUUUCCUAUAAAGUAAUGCUUCAAGAUGGAGAGAUGGAGGCAAGAGACUUGGUUGUAGAUAUAUACAUGAGCAACUUAAUUUAAGUUUAUGUAUAUUGUCUUAUAGUUUGUUUUUAAUUUUGUUGUAUAUUAUGAGUUUCUUCUAUAUAGAGAAAUUGGGGACAACUUUAAACAAGUUCA